ACCAGGAGAGGAGUGGUGGUGACCAGGGGGGAGUGGUGGGGACCAGGGGAGGGGUAUUGAUGAUCAGGGGAGGAGUGGUGGUGACCAGGGGAAGAGUUGUACGCGCCUGCUCCGAUCCCUGACUACUCCUCUGCUUAGGAAGAAAUCAUCAUAAGUCCCCGUCUUUGAAUGUUCGUCCGAUAACAUUAUAUAGGGCGUCGGGAGAUUUAGAUUCACGAUGAUAGCAAAAGUACGCCGCCUAGAGUACUCUCGAUUGUGUGCGCACGAAUUUUUAACGACGUAGUAGGGGGUUGUCACAUGAUUCAUUGCGCCUUGCCUUGCGCGCGCGUGACGUCAUGUCCGCUGUCGACGUAGUAAUGCAAAUUAAUUAGUUAGUUUUGUGUUUUUGUAAAGGCUAAAAAGUUUUGCUUUGAUUAAGUGUUUCCAUUGAAGACAAGAGGAAUCUAUCACGAGUCAAGCAGAAUGACACUUCAAGAGACAGUAUCUAAUAUCGAAUCUCUUAUAUCGCCUUUUGAGGUUAUUUUCUUAAUACCCUCAAAAGACGGUAUUAGAGAUUACACAGCUAAACAAUCGCUGUGUGAAGAUGCAGUAAGGAUCAAAAUGUCAUACGAAGAUGCACCGACUGCUUGGCGGCCCAUUCAAACCAUCGUGGAAGCUCUUUUCCCAGGCACUGUAGCACCACACCGCUGUAUAUCGGCCAUCGCCUCCUCGAUCACCAGUGACUUGACGAUUCUCGAAGAAAAAAGGGGGAGGGGGCACAGCCACGCCCCUACUUGUCAUUUCCUUAUAAUUUUGGAAAAUAUUAGGGGGGGCACGUGCCCCCAGUGUCUCACGCUCUGCUACGGCCCUGCCACUAAGGUACAACGUAACUUCCCCUGGAUCCGCCACUGUGUAGAUUUUCCUGUAGGAACUGACUGUCAAUCCACAUCAUUUUUCAGCUCUUGGUGUAUCAAUAACGCGCGCUCUUUAAAUACAUCUACAGUCGGAUUAUCAAAGUUCAGUGGGCAAGGAUUUCUUUUCAAGGUAGUACCCCUGAUGCAUUGCGCCAGAGCAUGUUAUCAACGGCCGCACGAUUUGAUGGCGCGCAGAUGAUCAUAGUUAUGAAGGCGGUAGAGCAAGAUACAUAUCGCGGGUAAAGGGGUUAACGUAGGCAACGUAGCGUCGUGUUGAGGACGGCAUGUAUUGCGCGCGUGUUCAGAGCCAUUGCGAGCGCUCGUGACGUCAUGGCCGCUGGUGACGUAAUAAUGCAAAUUAGAAUAAAAAAACAAAGAGACCCAAGCUAGCUUGAAAGCUACAGAUCUGCGAUGAUCUGGAUAAUUGUAAACGCACUUUUCGGGACUUUGUUGGGUAUUUUGCAUCAUGAACGUUUUGGUAAAUACAAUAUCUUUAAUUAUUGAAGAUAUUAUAUUUACCAAAACGUUUAGCGGCAGAGUCGCGCAAUGGUGAGUUGAAGAUCUUUGUUAUUUUACAUUCAAAUUACAUUGCGCUUUCUCGAAUGCGUUCUUUUUUGGGAUAGCUUGUAGCGAUUUUUUAAACAUAUUUUGUUAUUUAUUUUUCAGUAAUUCUUGGAAUUACAGCUUUUACAGAGCCAAGCUCCUUCCCGGAUUCAUGUACAGACCAAUAAGUAGCCUGUGAUAGCAGACCCCUCUAGCCGCUCGCGAAGCCAUGAGCUAUACGUGGAUUUUAGCAGUCUGAAUCCGCAAGACCACUAAAGAGUUAACCAUGCUUUGACUAAGAUAAAGUUCGGCAAUUCAUUCUCAAGUAAAUCAGCAUUUGUUAGAUUUGAAAGCACCACUGUUUUCAUUGCAGCUAUAUUGGGACCUUUGGUGCGAUGGAAGGUGUAAUCACAAACCAAAUUAGGGAAAUCAGUCGACAUUUUAAUGAUAAUUUCUCAGUUUAUUCCAUCAACUAAAUUAAUAUUUACAAAAUAAUACUUUUAUGGGUUUCAAAGUCAUUGAUCCGAAUUGUGUAAAAGAAUGUUUCUGUAGGCUAAAAACCCUAUGCAAAUCAGACACUAAAUCCAAUCCAUUCUACGAUAAAAAAUAUAUCAACCAAUAAACGAAAUUUUUUUAGAAAGAAAUUAAAAGAGUUUUAAAUAUUCAAAACAAAAUUUUAGCGCAAGUUGGAUCAAUGGACUUUAAUUAACAGAAUUUUCAUCUAAAGCGCACAUCACACAACGAUGUUGAGAUAAUAACUAUACACUUAAACAUUUUGGCCACAUAAAAUGAUGACUGCUUAUCAAGCACUUUAUAAAAAGAAUGUCAAUUAUAAAAA